rnacentral:rRNA from 1 species
GGGCAGCGGGGAGGAAGCUUGCUUUCUCCGCCGGCGACCGGCGCACGGGUGAGUAACACGUAUGCAACCUGCCCCUGUCAGGGGGACAACCCGCCGAAAGGCGGGCUAAACCCGCGUACAUGCCACCGGGGCAUCCCGGAGGCAGGAAAGGCUUCGGCCGGACAGGGAUGGGCAUGCGGCGCAUUAGGCAGUAGGCGGGGUAACGGCCCACCUAACCGACGAUGCGUAGGGGUUCUGAGAGGAAGGUCCCCCACACUGGUACUGAGACACGGACCAGACUCCUACGGGAGGCAGCAGUGAGGAAUAUUGGUCAAUGGUCGGGAGACUGAACCAGCCAAGCCGCGUGAGGGAGGAAGGUACAGAGUAUCGUAAACCUCUUUUGUCAGGGAACAAAGGCGGGGACGUGUCCCCGGAUGAGUGUACCUGAAGAAAAAGCAUCGGCUAACUCCGUGCCAGCAGCCGCGGUAAUACGGAGGAUGCGAGCGUUAUCCGGAUUUAUUGGGUUUAAAGGGUGCGCAGGCGGUCUGUUAAGUCAGCGGUCAAAGCCCGGGGCUCAACCCCGGCCCGCCGUUGAAACUGGCAGUCUCGAGUUGGAGAGAAGUAUGCGGAAUGCGCGGUGUAGCGGUGAAAUGCAUAGAUAUCGCGCAGAACUCCGAUUGCGAAGGCAGCAUGCCGGCUCCACACUGACGCUGAGGCACGAAAGCGUGGGUAUCGAACAGGAUUAGAUACCCUGGUAGUCCACGCAGUAAACGAUGAAUGCUGGCUGUCCGGGGGGAUUGACCCCUGGGUGGCGAAGCGAAAGCGAUAAGCAUUCCACCUGGGGAGUACGCCGGCAACGGUGAAACUCAAAGGAAUUGACGGGGGCCCGCACAAGCGGAGGAACAUGUGGUUUAAUUCGAUGAUACGCGAGGAACCUUACCCGGGCUCAAACGGGGAGUGACUCAGGCAGAGACGCCUGUUUCCCACGGGACACUCCCCGAGGUGCUGCAUGGUUGUCGUCAGCUCGUGCCGUGAGGUGUCGGCUUAAGUGCCAUAACGAGCGCAACCCCCGCGUGCAGUUGCUAACAGAUAACGCUGAGGACUCUGCACGGACUGCCGGCGCAAGCCGCGAGGAAGGCGGGGAUGACGUCAAAUCAGCACGGCCCUUACGUCCGGGGCGACACACGUGUUACAAUGGGUGGUACAGCGGGAAGCCAGGCGGCGACGCCGAGCGGAACCCGAAAUCCACUCUCAGUUCGGAUCGGAGUCUGCAACCCGACUCCGUGAAGCUGGAUUCGCUAGUAAUCGCGCAUCA